UUGGAGGGCAAGUCUGGUGCCAGCAGCCGCGGUAAUUCCAGCUCCAAUAGCGUAUAUUAAAGUUGUUGCAGUUAAAAAGCUCGUAGUUGAAUUUCGGGAUCAAUAUUUCGGUCAUGCCGUUGGUAUGCACUGUUAUCAUUGAUUUCUCACCUUCUAAAGAACCGUAAUGCCAUUAAUUUGGUGUUACGGGGAAUUAAGACGUUUCCCUUGAAAAAAUUAGAGUGUUUAAAGCAGGCUCACGCUGGAAUACAUUAGCAUGGAAUAAUGAAAUAGGACAUCCGAUUCUAUUUUGUUGGUUUCUAGGAUCGAUGUAAUGAUUAAUAGGGAUAGUUGGGGGCAUUAGUAUUCAAUUGUCAGAGGUGAAAUUCUUGGAUUUAUUGAAGACUAACUACUGCGAAAGCAUUUGCCAAGGAUGUUUUCAUUAAUCAAGAACGAAAGUUAGGGGAUCGAAGACGAUCAGAUACCGUCGUAGUCUUAACCAUAAACUAUGCCGACUAGGGAUCGGAUGAUGUUAAUUUUUUAAUGACUCAUUCGGCGCCUUACGGGAAAC
rnacentral:rRNA from 1 species